GACGAACGCUGGCGGCGUGCUUAACACAUGCAAGUCGAACGAAGCAAGAGUUAAAACCCUUUCGGGGGCAGAGACUUUUGACUGAGUGGCGGACGGGUGAGUAACGCGUGAGCAACCUACCUGCAAGAGGGGGACAACAGUUGGAAACGACUGCUAAUACCGCAUAAGACCACGAUCUCACAUGGGAUUGAGGUAAAAGAUUUUUAUCACUUGCAGAUGGGCUCGCGUCCCAUUAGGUAGUUGGUGAGGUAACGGCUCACCAAGCCUGCGAUGGGUAGCCGACCUGAGAGGGUGAUCGGCCACACUGGAACUGAGACACGGUCCAGACUCCUACGGGAGGCAGCAGUGGGGAAUAUUGGGCAAUGGGGGAAACCCUGACGCAGCAACGCCGCGUGAGUGAUGAAGGCUUUCGGGUCGUAAAGCUCUGUCAGUAGGGAAGAAGUGUAAUGGUGCUAAUACCACCUUUACUUGACGGUACCUACAAAGGAAGCACCGGCUAACUC
rnacentral:rRNA from 1 species